AGAGCUCAAAUUUGAAAUCUGGCCCCUCGGGGUCCGAGUUGUAAUUUGUAGAGGAUGUUUUGGGUACCGCCCCGGUCUAAAUUUCUUGGAACAGAAUGUCACAGAGGGUGAGAAUCCCGUCUUGGACCGGCGGUAGGGCCUGUGUAAAACUCCUUCGACGAGUCGAGUUGUUUGGGAAUGCAGCUCAAAAUGGGUGGUAAAUUUCAUCUAAAGCUAAAUAUUGGCCAGAGACCGAUA
rnacentral:rRNA from 1 species